CUGACCAUUAAAUCGAAGCGCCAGGUCUUUCAGAGAGAGCUUCUGUCUUGGCUGAAUGAGUGUCACCAACACACUGAAAACCAUCCUGGGCUGGAGCUGAGCCUGGGUGAAACGGUACAGCAGCACCGGUGGGGAUGAAACGCAGUAAGAGCCUUUGGAGAAGAAGAGGCACAAGCCAGGGAGCCUCACAGGAGAGGUGCCUUCUUCUUCGAAAGGGAAGGAGGAAUCUUAGCUCGACCUACAGCCCUCUACAGGUCUCCCUUGAUUCACCAUCCCCCACACAUCUCUACUACUGUGACUGUUUGUUAACCAGCCUUCUGCCAUGGUCACAAGUUCAGCUUGAGAAUUGGAUUCCGCCAUACGCCAGUCUCUGGUUUUUAUAAGCGGAACCUGGUGUUGAGGCAUUGGGAUCCUGGGGAGCAGAACUUUUCUCAUCAGCUCCGGUCAACAGAGGCUCAAACUGGAGUCCGA